GAUGAACGCUAGCGGCAGGCUUAAUACAUGCAAGUCGAGGGGCAUCAAGGUACACGAAAGUGUAUUGUUGGCGACCGGCGGACGGGUGAGUAAUAGGUAGGUAACCUACCUCAUACUGAGGCAUAGCUGGGAGAAAUUCCAGGUAAUUCCUCAUGAGGUUAUAUGACACAUGUGAUAUAAUCAAAGGUAUCGCAAGGUACUGGUAUGAGAUGGGCUUACUGACCAUUAGCUAGUUGGUGAGAUAAGAGCUCACCAAGGCGAAGAUGGUUAGGGGUUUUGAGAGAGAGAUCCCCCACAUUGGAACUGAGAUACGGUCCAGACUCCUACGGGAGGCAGCAGUAGGGAAUAUUGGGCAAUGGGCGGAAGCCUGACCCAGCCAUGCCGCGUGAAGGAAGACGGCCUUAUGGGUUGUAAACUUCUUUACUACGCGACUAACUAGAUUUACGAGAUAAUUCUAUAGAAUGUAGCAUAGCAAAAGCACCGGCUAA
rnacentral:rRNA from 1 species